AUCGCUUCUCGGCCUUUUGGCUAAGAUCAAGUGUAGAUUCCACAUAAGUGGUAUCAUACAGUACAUGUCUUUCUUGUCUGACUUAUUCCGUAUCUUCUUUAUCCAUCCAUUUCUUGAUGGACACUUAGGUUGCUUCUGUAUUUUGGCAAUUGUAAGUAAUACUGC
rnacentral:snRNA from 1 species